rnacentral:misc_RNA from 1 species
CGAGGUAGUGGCAGGGACGUCCGACAGCAAAGCAAGGGAGGAGCUCGCUGCCGGGGCUGCACGCCAUGGUUGCCGAGCUAACAGCAGGGGAAUCUUUCGGCCAGGGAGGAAAGAGAAAAAAAAAUGGGGCGAGCUCUGCUGGAAUUUCUGGGCGCCGUCCAAGGAAGCUGCUGCCGCUGCUUUGGGGGAAGGAGGAUGGGCUGCUGCAUCCAUGGAUAGGGAGCGGACUGUGCUGCGGGGAAGAGGAACAGGGAGGGCGCUGGCUGGGAGAGGGAGCUCGGCGACCACCAUGGCUGGGUUGUGGAGCAGAGGACACGCCCAGCAGGGAGGGCGCUGGUAGAGAGAUAGGAGUAGGGGCCUCACGCCAUGGGAGAGAGGGCACAGGGGGCUUGGACGCCAUGGAUCCAGGGAGGAGCUUCAGCGCCGAGGAAGAAGGAGCAGGGGCGCCAGCUUGCUGCUCGCCAUGGAGGGGGCGCCGGCCAUGGAGAGGAAAGGAGCCGUGCUCCCUGCGCGCUGGCUGUGUGCGUGGGAGAAGAAGACAGGGAGAAGAGAGAGUGGCGGCUAGGGAAAAUGCAG